CAAAUGGCCGCGCCAUUUCAGACGAAAGGGAAAUGGUGAGGAAAGUCCGGGCUUCACAGGGCAGGAUGCCGGAUAACGUCCGGUAGGGGUGACCCUCAAGCCAGUGCAACAGAAAUAAACCGCCGGUUUGAUGACCGGUAAGGGUGGAAAGGCAAGGUAAGAGCUUACCGCCUGUCUGGUAACAGACAGGGCACAUGUAAACCUCAUCCGAAGCAAGACCGAAUAGAAAACGAUAAAUUGGCCCGAUUUGUUUUCAGGUGGGUCGCAUGAGCCUGCUGGCGACAGCAGGUCGAGAUAGAUGGCCAUUCAAUGACAGAACCCGGCUUAUCGGCUGUCUG
rnacentral:RNase_P_RNA from 1 species